AGUCACUGACAUUAGAUACCCGGGUAGUCCAGGGUGUAAACGCUGCAGACUUGGUGUUGGAAGCCCUUUGGGGGCAUUCAGUGCCGGAGAGAAGUUGUUAAGUCUGCUACUUGGGAGUACGUCCGCAAGGAUGAAACUUAAAGGAAUUGGCGGGGGAGCACCGCAACGGGAGGAGCGUGCGGUUUAAUUGGAUUCAACACCGUAAAACUCACCAGGGAAGACUGUUACAUGAAGGCCGAGAUGAAGACUCUGCUAGAUUUUCAG
rnacentral:rRNA from 1 species